rnacentral:rRNA from 1 species
CAUGGAGGGUGAGAAUCCCGUUCAUGGUUAAUCUUAAGGAAGCUCUACGAUACGUUUUCCAAGAGUCGAGUUGUUUGGGAUUGCAGCUCAAAAUGGGAGGUAAAUUUCUCCUAAGGCUAAAUAUUGGCGAGAGACCGAUAGCGAACAAGUACCGUGAGGGAAAGAUGAAAAGAACUUUGAAAAGAGAGUUAAACAGUACGUGAAAUUGUUGAAAGGAAAACGAUUGAAGUCAGUCAUACCAACGGGAAAUCAACCUUUUGAGCUCGGUCUCGUGGGUUUUGAAGAGUUUCAAAGCCUUCGGAUUCGCGGGAUUGGGAUCUCUUGGCGUACUUUUUCGUACGGUUAGUCAACAUCGGUUUUGAAUGUCAUAAAAUGACUGGAGGAAUGUAGCUUCGAUCUCGUAUUGAAGUGUUAUAGCCUUUGGUAGAUGUGAUGUUUGAGACCGAGGAUUGCAACGGAUACCCUUCAGGGCUAUUCGUCUGAUCUCUGAUACGUUGCCUUGAUGUUGAAAGCUUGCUUAUGAUGUUAGGGUAUUACGGUCAAAAGGUUAGAACGAAUUACAUUCGUUAAGGAUGUUGACGUAAUGG